rnacentral:rRNA from 1 species
CCUACGGGUGGCAGCAGUGGGGGAUAUUGCACAAUGGAGGAAACUCUGAUGCAGCGACGCCGCGUGAGGGAAGACGGUCUUCGGAUUGUAAACCUCUGUCUGUGGGGAAGAAAAUGACGGUACGCAAAGAGGAAGCUACGGCUAACGACGUGCCAGCAGCCGCGGUAAUACGUAGGGAGCGAGCGUGUUCCGGAAUUACUGGGUGUAAAGGGAGCGUAGGCGGGGGAGAAAGUUGACUGUUAAAUCUACCGGCUUAACUGGUAGCUGCGUUCCAAACUUCUUGUCUUGAGUGAAGUAGAGGCCGGCGGCCUUCCUAGUGUAGCGGUGACAUGCGUAGCUAUUAGGAG